GCCGGGGGCGCCCGGGGAGGCGCGGGCGGCGGCCCCAGCGGAGACUAGGCCAGAACUGAGCAUUUUCGAAGUUCCCGAACAGAGAUGGAUGCCGCGUCCCUUUCGCAGUGACGAGACUUCCCUGCCGUGUUUGUGAUCCUCUACUUCCGACCAACCUGCCAGCUUCAGGAGCCCUCUCUGCGUCCCCAGAGACUCCCUCUACCAGGCAGACUCCGUCGAAGAGUCGCUAUGUCCACGCCCUUUUAGUUAGUUCUCCAGUCUAGUAUGGUACCCAUUCGCCCAUCCUCCCCACCCUAACCCCAGUCCCCGCGCUCCUAAAUCUUCCUUCUUUAGCUUCUCGCCCACUUCUCCCCGCACCUGCAUGCAGCUCUGCCUCCGCAGCCUCCGUGCGCUUCCCGUCGCUCACUGCGGAGGGCGCCCUACGCGUUGCCCAAGGACACACUUUUAAAAAAAGUCCUUUCGUUCUGAGCGCAGCUAAAGGGGGCGCCGUGCGUCUCCGUGCUGUUCACGCCCAAGCCUGGCCCCAGAACUUGGGAUCCGGUACGAGGAGAGAGGGGAGGAGGGUUUUUAUGGUGUCACAUACCCCUUGCUGUGAUCACAAGUCCCUAUUUCAUACCCCAACCCCACACCUGCCUGUAAUCUACCCUCCCCUCUCGCCAGUGCAGCCGGAAAGCCGCCUCUCCAGCUCUCUGCUUGUUUAUGCAAACGCCGAGCGCGGGGGAGGCUCGACAGGAGGAGUCUUCCGCGGCCCCGCCCCUGCUCCGGCUGGCCCCGCCCCCACCGGGCUCCUGGGGCUGUGGCCGUGAGGUUUUUUUAUCUCCGCGUGUGCAUGUGACUGUGCUGGGUUGGAAUGUGAACAAUAAAGAGGAAUGUCCAAGUGU
ensembl:lncRNA